GGCUCAGCCCUCUGGUUACUCCAGGAAGCUGCCGGUCUUCACCCACACAGAGCCCCGGCCCUUCAGGAUCUUUAAAGAUAUCAUCAGUUAAAUGAAGACAAAGUCAGACUGGAUUUUGGUGGGCCCCCAUUCCAAUGGCUGCCGUCGUUAUAAGGAGGCGGCAGGAAGACGCGGAGAUGGAGGCAGAGGCAGCACUUGGAGAGAUGUGUCUACAAGCCACAGGACACCAAGGCUUACCAGCGGCCACCAGGAGCCAGGAGAGGCAUGGGACAGGUCCUUCCCCACAGCCUGCAGAGGAGCUCAGCCCUGCCAACAGGCAUUCGAGCUUCUACUUCCCAGAACUGUGGGGGAAUACGUCUCCGUGGUUUUAAGCCCCCAGUUUGCAUUUCAGCAGCUCUAGGAAGCCAGUACAGUACUGAAUUCAAUAUUCAUUUAAUCCGAGUUUCAUUUUUAACUGCAUGGUAUGCGGUGUCUCCUGUUUCUCCCUAAGCCAAUCAAGCCUCAUUUAAAAAGAAGAAAAAGGACUCCCAAAGAGUAGCAUGGUGGCCUGCUCAGGAACGCAGGGGCAGAGGCAGCAGCAGGGGCAGGGGCAGCAGCAGGGGCAGGGGCAGAGGCAGCGGCAGGGGCAGG
rnacentral:lncRNA from 1 species